rnacentral:misc_RNA from 1 species
AGUCGUUUGUCACUGCACGCGCUGGCGGACCUCCUACGAUUCUCCUCUGAACGGAUCCUUGAUGGAAACGCGACCACGCGAAGCAGUUCGUAUAGCUUUCGCUCGAGGCUGACGCGCGCGCGCGCGCGUCUACGUUACUGUCGCCUACGUCUCGAUGAACGCGGUUUUAUGGGAAACGUUGCUGUUGAUACGGGACAAUAGAUCCAUUUUGUUCGAGGGAAACCGUGAAAUAAUACUGCCUGAGAACUUUUUCUGUGAGAGCCUGUGUAAAGGAGCUGGAUAGUAUCCGUGGCCAAUCUUGAUAAUACAAGAAAACGAUUACUCCAACGUAUUGCGCA